UUGGACGGGGCCCGCACAAGCGGUGGAGCAUGUGGUUUAAUUCGACGCAACGCGAAGAACCUUACCAGGGCUUGACAUCCCCUGACCGCGUAUGAAAGUACGUUUUCACCCUCGGGUGACAGGGAGACAGGUGGUGCAUGGUUGUCGUCAGCUCGUGUCGUGAGAUGUUGGGUUAAGUCCCGCAACGAGCGUAACCCCUACGUUUAGUUGCUAACGCGUGAAGGCGAGCACUCUAGACAAACUGCCGUUGACAAAACGGAGGAAGGUGGGGAUGACGUCAAAUCAUCAUGCCCCUUAUGUUCUGGGCUACACACGUGCUACAAUGGCCGGUACAGACGGACGCAAAGCCGCGAGGUGGAGCAAAUCCUAAAAAGCCGGUCUCAGUUCGGAUUGCAGGCUGCAAUUCGCCUGCAUGAAGUCGGAAUCGCUAGUAAUCGCAGGUCAGCAUACUGCGGUGAAUACGUUCCCGGGCCUU
rnacentral:rRNA from 1 species